UUUGAUAACCUGUAAUAGUUGUUUUUCCUGCUCAUCAUUAAGCAAUGCAGAUAUAAUAACAGAGAGUUUCUCAUCCCUCUCAAGAUAAGCAUGUUUCAAAUGGGAUGGUAAAGUUUUCAACUCCAAAAAGGGUAGAUGUACCACAUAUGGCAAUAUCUUACUGCCAAAGGUAAUUUCAACCACCUCAACAUCGCACUCGG
rnacentral:lncRNA from 1 species